rnacentral:rRNA from 1 species
AUUGAACGCUGGCGGCAUGCCUUACACAUGCAAGUCGAACGGUAACAGGUCUUCGGAUGCUGACGAGUGGCGAACGGGUGAGUAAUACAUCGGAACGUGCCUAGUAGUGGGGGAUAACUACUCGAAAGAGUGGCUAAUACCGCAUGAGAUCUACGGAUGAAAGCAGGGGAUCGCAAGACCUUGUGCUACUAGAGCGGCCGAUGGCAGAUUAGGUAGUUGGUGGGAUAAAAGCUUACCAAGCCGACGAUCUGUAGCUGGUCUGAGAGGACGAUCAGCCACACGGGGACUGAGACACGGCCCAGACUCCUACGGGGGGCAGCAGUGGGGAAUUUUGACAAUGGGCGAAAGCCUGAUCCAGCAAUGCCGCGUGCAGGAUGAAGGCCUUCGGGUUGUAAACUGCUUUUGUACGGAACGAAAAGCCCUGGGUUAAUACCCUGGGGUCAUGACGGUACCGUAAGAAUAAGCACCGGCUAACUACGUGCCAGCCGCCGCGGUAACAC